CCUACGGGCGGCUGCAGUGGGGAAUAUUGGACAAUGGGGGAAACCCUGAUCCAGCGACGCCGCGUGGGUGAAGAAGGCCUGCGGGUUGUAAAGCCCUUUCGGUGGGGAAGAAAAGCCUCGACCUAACACGUCGGGGUAUUGACGUAACCCACAAAAGAAGCACCGGCUAACUCUGUGCCAGCAGCCGCGGUAAUACAGAGGGUGCGAGCGUUAAUCGGAAUUACUGGGCGUAAAGCGCGCGUAGGCGGCUAUACAAGUCGAGUGUGAAAUCCCCGGGCUCAACCUGGGAACUGCAUUCGAGACUGUAUGGCUUGAGUAUGGGAGAGGGAGGCGGAAUUUCAGGUGUAGCGGUGAAAUGCGUAGAUAUCUGAAGGAACAUCAGUGGCGAAAGCGGCCUCCUGGACCAAUACUGACGCUCAUGUGCGAAAGCGUGGGGAGCAAACAGGAUUAGAUACCCUUGUAGUC
rnacentral:rRNA from 1 species